CCUACGGGAGGCAGCAGUGAGGAAUAUUGGUCAAUGGACGAGAGUCUGAACCAGCCAAGUAGCGUGAAGGAUGACUGCCCUAUGGGUUGUAAACUUCUUUUAUAUGGGAAUAAAAUGUUCCACGUGUGGGAUUUUGUAUGUACCAUCUGAAUAAGGAUCGGCUAACUCCGUGCCAGCAGCCGCGGGAAUACGGAGGAUCCGAGCGUUAUCCGGAUUUAUUGGGUUUAAAGGGAGCGUAGGUGGAUUGUUAAGUCAGUUGUGAAAGUUUGCGGCUCAACCGUAAAAUUGCAGUUGAAACUGGCAGUCUUGAGUACAGUAGAGGUGGGCGGAAUUCGUGGUGUAGCGGUGAAAUGCUUAGAUAUCACGAAGAACUCCGAUUGCGAAGGCAGUUCACUGGACCGCAACUGACACUGAGGCUCGAAAGUGUGGGUAUCAAACAGGAUUAGAUACCCCAGUAGUC
rnacentral:rRNA from 1 species